rnacentral:tRNA from 1 species
GGAUUGUGGCUCAAUGGUAGAGCACUUGCCUAGCACAUAUGAGGUCCUGGGUUCAAUCCGCAGCACCA